UUUUACGGAGAGUUUGAUCCUGGCUCAGGACGAACGCUGGCGGCGUGCUUAACACAUGCAAGUCGAACGAUGAACUGGAGCUUGCUCCAGGGAUUAGUGGCGAACGGGUGAGUAACACGUGAGUAACCUGCCCUUGACUCUGGGAUAAGCGCUAGAAAUGGCGUCUAAUACCGGAUACGAGCUUCAGCCGCAUGGCUAGGA
rnacentral:rRNA from 1 species